UGGCAAACUUAUUGAAAAGUAAGGACGCAAAGCUAAGGGUCUAACCCGUUUCAUCAUCAGAAACGGUAUGAUUGCCAGUUGC
rnacentral:ncRNA from 1 species